rnacentral:rRNA from 1 species
GACGAACGCUGGCGGCGUGCUUAACACAUGCCAGUCGAACGGUGAAGCGCCUUCCUUUUUGGUGGGUGUGGAUGAGUGGCGAACGGGUGAGUAACACGUGAGUAACCUGCCCCCUUCUUCUGGAUAACCGCAUGAAAGUGUGGCUAAUACGGGAUAUUCUGGGUCUGUCGCAUGAUGGGUCUGGGAAAGAUAUUGUUUCGGUGGGGGAUGGGCUCGCGGCCUAUCAGCUUGUUGGUGGGGUGAUGGCCUACCAAGGCGGUGACGGGUAGCCGGCCUGAGAGGGUGGACGGUAACAGUGGGAAUGAGACACGGCCCAGACUCCGACGGGAGGCAGCAGUGGGGAAUAUUGCACAAUGGGCGGAAGGCUGAUGCAGCGACGCCGCGUGAGGGAUGGAGGCCUUCGGGUUGUGAACCUCUUUCGCCAGUGAAGCAGGCCUGCCUCGUUUGUGGGUGGGUUGACGGUAGCUGGAUAAGAAGCGCCGGCUAACUACGUG